GCCAUUAGCUACUUCUUACCCUAUUAGCAGACUGUGCCAGGACUGGGACAUCACUAGCACAGGAGUUUUGAACCGCAGAGAAGAAGAGGUUUUCAGGCGUCAGGCAUGGGACCCAGUGGGGAAUUCUGCCUGAAUGUGCACCAGAAGCAGAGUCAAGCAAGCGGGCAGUGGAACUGGCCUCAGUAGCCUCCAAGACCAAUGGACUGGACUACAGUACAGAGGUGAUUUACAGCGGCUUUGACCAAAACUCCAAGGACGACGAAGACACGACAGGUUCAACUGAGGACAGGAGAGCAGUCAAGUUGUCGCAAGUUAAUUUGCUUUGGUCAGCUUCACCAUUCCAGCUGUGGCUUUCCCCCUUGGUUGACGCUCUCCCUCACCAGCCAGCAAUCAUCACUCAAGCACCUGUUCUUCAUCAUGCCGAUCAGUCUUGCCUUCAGAAGGAGAGGCCUGCCAUCCAAUCCCCUAUGGACUGUUGUGUCAUUCAUAGAACACACCUGGACCACUUCCUAAAACACCAGCCUCACCCUCUUUCCAGCCAAACCCUGUCAGCACACAUUGGACCAUUGACACAAACCAAAAACCAGCCCCACUCACCAGCCACCCGCUCUGCUUCAUUCAUUCCGUUUUCAAUAAAUAACCUUAUCUCAUU